GACGAACGCUGGCGGCGUGCCUAAUACAUGCAAGUAGAACGCACAGUUUAUACCGUAGCUUGCUACACCAUAGACUGUGAGUUGCGAACGGGUGAGUAACGCGUAGGUAACCUGCCUGGUAGCGGGGGAUAACUAUUGGAAACGAUAGCUAAUACCGCAUAAUAUUAAUUAUUGCAUGAUAAUUGAUUGAAAGAUGCAACUGCAUCACUACCAGAUGGACCUGCGUUGUAUUAGCUAGUAGGCGAGGUAACGGCUCACCUAGGCGACGAUACAUAGCCGACCUGAGAGGGUGAUCGGCCACACUGGGACUGAGACACGGCCCAGACUCCUACGGGAGGCAGCAGUAGGGAAUCUUCGGCAAUAGACGAAAGUCUGACCGAGCAACGCCGCGUGAGUGAAGAAGGUUUUCGGAUCGUAAAGCUCUGUUGUAAGAGAAGAACGGGUGUGAGAGUGGAAAGUUCACACUGUGACGGUAUCUUACCAGAAAGGGACGGCUAACUACGUG
rnacentral:rRNA from 1 species